CACCUUUGACAUGUACGGAAUCCUUUAGAGAUAGAGGAGUGCUCGAAAGAGAGCCGUAACACAGGUGCUGCAUGGCUGUCGUCAGCUCGUGUCGUGAGAUGUUGGGUUAAGUCCCGCAACGAGCGCAACCCUUGCCAUUAGUUGCUACGAAAGGGCACUCUAAUGGGACUGCCGGUGACAAACCGGAGGAAGGUGGGGAUGACGUCAAGUCCUCAUGGCCCUUAUAGGUGGGGCUACA
rnacentral:rRNA from 1 species